rnacentral:rRNA from 1 species
AGCCGACGUAGCAAUACGAAGGCAAGUAAAGUGGCGAACGGGUGAGUAACGCGUGGGAAACCUGCUCCAGAGUGGGGGAUAACAGUUCUAACGGACUGCUAAUACCGCAUGAUGCUACGGGUCGAUGACUUCGUAGUUGAAGGAGGCCUCUGUUUCAAGCUUUCGCUCUGGAAUGGUCCCGCGUCCUAUUAGCUUGUUGGUGGGGUAACGGCCUACCAAGGCGACGAUGGGUAGCCGGCCUGAGAGGGUGGUCGGCCACACUGGGACUGAGAUACGGCCCAGACUCCUACGGGAGGCAGCAGUCGAGAGGCUUCGGCAAUGGGGGAAACCCUGACCGAGCGACGCCGCGUGGGUGAUGAAGUUUUUCGGAACGUAAAACCCUGUCAGGUGGGAUGAAAUACCAUUCGGUUAACACCCGAGUGGCUUGACAGUACCACCAGAGGAAGCUCCGGCUAACUCCGUGCCAGCAGCCGCGGUAACACGGGGGGAGCAAGCGUUGUUCGGAUUCAUUGGGCGUAAAGAGCUCGUAGGUGGCUCUGUAAGUCGGUGGUGAAAGCCCACGGCUCAACCGUGGAUACGCCUCCGAAACUGUGGAGCUUGAGGCUGGGAGAGGAAAUCGGAAUUCCUGGUGUAGCGGUGAAAUGCGUAGAUAUCAGGAGGAACACCGGUGGCGAAGGCGGAUUUCUGGACCAGUUCUGACACUGAGGAGCGAAAGCCAGGGGAGCAAACAGGAUUAGAUACCCUGGUAGUCCUGGCUGUAAACGAUGGGCACUAGGUGUGGGGGGAUCGACCCCUUCCGUGCCGCAGUUAACGCAUUAAGUGCCCCGC